rnacentral:tRNA from 1 species
UCCCUGAUAGUCCAGUGGUUAGCACUUGGCGUUUUCACUGCUGGGGCCUGGAUUUGAUUCCUGGUCAGGGAA